GGCAGUAAUAGGAGGAUUUCAAAGCGUUGGGAAUGAGCAUGUUGCAUGUAAUAUACCCCGUCGCCCCCACGCAUACGUACACACCGCCCGUACCCCUCCAGUUCUGCGUCUCCAAGAGCGAGCAACUUUAAACACUCCCCGCAAACUCUGGUCUGCGGGAGGCUGAGCUAACGGCACUGCCUGCCUCCACCCGGCAAAGAGAUGGGGGAGGACGCAGUGACACUGACCCGAACUUCCCCGCGGUACCUGGUGAUCAGGGAAGGAGCUAAGUGAAGUGUUGCCGGAGAGAGAGCAUAUAGGACUGACUGACAAGCCUGAGUCAUACACAAGCAUUUGGAAGUUCCACACCCAACAUCUUGUGAAGCUCCUUCCACAUGGGAGUCCAGGAGAGAUGCUUGUGCAGAGACCCAGG